rnacentral:rRNA from 1 species
CGGACCGGCGCACGGGUGAGUAACACGUAUGCAACCUGCCCUCUUCAGGGGGACAACCUUCCGAAAGGGAGGCUAAUCCCGCGUAUAUCGGUUUCGGGCAUCCGAGAUCGAGGAAAGAUUCAUCGGAAGAGGAUGGGCAUGCGGCGCAUUAGCUAGACGGCGGGGUAACGGCCCACCGUGGCGACGAUGCGUAGGGGUUCUGAGAGGAAGGCCCCCCACACUGGAACUGAGACACGGUCCAGACUCCUACGGAAGGCAGCAG